GUCUAAGUAGCUCAAUGGUAGAGUUUUAGAUUGAAAAUCUAACUGUUAUUGGUUCGAUUCCAAUCUUAGACA
rnacentral:tRNA from 1 species